rnacentral:miRNA from 1 species
AAAUUUCAUGAUUCGGUAGGA